CAAAAAAGAAGUAUCACCCUGCAGCCCAAGACUGGUUGCCCACUGAAGCUAAGCAGGGUUGAGCCUGGUCAGUACCUGGAUGGGAGACCUCCUGGGAAAACUAGGUUGCUGUUGG
rnacentral:rRNA from 1 species